UCCACGUAGGCACAAAAAAUCGUCCAAUCAGAAAGUCCGAAGUUGCCACGUCAUCACAUUUAUUUUUUGUAAAAAUGAAAAAACAAUGCAAAGGUAAGGAUCAAACCCGGGUUAGUAUGACAUAAAUAUAUGGCAGAUACCACUAAGCCAUUGAAACUUUCUUGGACACAUAUACAAGAAUCACUAAAUAUGUAAUCACACUCUUAUGUACAUUUACAAUAAUAUGGAUUCAACUUUCAAGACUCCGAUGCUUUCUUUUAUAAAAAAAAAAAGUAAGUGACUAAGCUAAUAUAUUCUUUGAAAGUGUGAGAACAUUGACAAAUAUGAAAAAUCAUAGAUUUUUAUUUUCGUGACAAAGUUAACAAUUUUGUAAAAGUAAGUAUAACAGAUAAAUUUUCGUGACAAAUAUGAAAAAGCAUAGAUUUUUGUACAAUUUUGACAAAACAACUUAAAACAUAGUUCUUUAAUGUCUUAAUAAAAUAUUAUUUAAGGGUGCAAUAAUUAAAUAUAUCAAUUCAAUAAAUUUUGUAAUUUAUAGACAAAACAAUAACACAACAAAUUUUGAAACAUUUGUUUAACCUAUCGAUUUCUUUUCAUGAGAAUUCAACUAAACAAGAUAAAAAACAAUUAGAUUUAUUUAAUUACAAUUUUAUUCAAUUUUGAUUAAUUUCAAAUUGUAAUAAUGUAUCUUUUUGAAGUUACAAAAAAAUAAAGUUUUUUCUUUAUUACACUAGCAUUAUAUAUAGAUUCCAUAUACACAAAUAAAUAUAAUAUAACAACAUAAGCUUGCUUUCCCCGAUUCAUAUGAAUACUUUUUAAGUUAUCCACCAAAGCACAUUAAUUAAAUCAAUCAAAUUGUUAGAAUACAACAAAUUUAUAUAUAAUUUUAUUUUAAAUUAAAUUAUUUAAAAAGUGUAUUUUCAUUAAACAAAAAUAAUAAAUAAGUAAAACUGAUUUGAUGAUAAUUUUUAUGACAUAUAUAUAUAUAUAUAUAUUAUGUGAAAGAAAUAUAAGCUUAAUAUGGAAAAAAAUCUUAAAUACAAAAAAACUCUGAAAUUAACAAAAAAACUAAUAAAAAUUAAACUACGAUAUCAAUUGAAAGCUUCUUAGACAAUAUUAAUAAAAUAUUUAAGCGAUAAAAGGGGGAUAUAAGCUCCCCUUAGAGUGUCCACGUAGGCACAAAAAAUCGUCCAAUCAGAAAUUCCGAAGUUGCCACGUCAUCACAUUUAUUUUUUGUAAAAAUGAAAAAACAAUGCAAAGGUAAGGAUCAAACCCGGGUUAGUAUGACAUAAAUAUAUGGCAGAUACCACUAAGCCAUUGAAACUUUCUUGGACACAUAUACAAGAAUCACUAAAUAUGUAAUCACACUCUUAUGUACAUUUACAAUAAUAUGGAUUCAAC
rnacentral:lncRNA from 1 species